UUCGGGGAACGAUAACGGCGUCGAGCGGCGGACGGGUGAGUAAUGCCUAGGAAAUUGCCCUGAUGUGGGGGAUAACCAUUGGAAACGAUGGCUAAUACCGCAUGAUGCCUACGGGCCAAAGAGGGGGACCUUCGGGCCUCUCGCGUCAGGAUAUGCCUAGGUGGGAUUAGCUAGUUGGUGAGGUAAGGGCUCACCAAGGCGACGAUCCCUAGCUGGUCUGAGAGGAUGAUCAGCCACACUGGAACUGAGACACGGUCCAGACUCCUACGGGAGGCAGCAGUGGGGAAUAUUGCACAAUGGGCGCAAGCCUGAUGCAGCCAUGCCGCGUGUGUGAAGAAGGCCUUCGGGUUGUAAAGCACUUUCAGUCGUGAGGAAGGUGGUGUAGUUAAUAGCUGCAUUAUUUGACGUUAGCGACAGAAGAAGCACCGGCUAACUCCGUGCCAGCAGCCGCGGUAAUACGGAGGGUGCGAGCGUUAAUCGGAAUUACUGGGCGUAAAGCGCAUGCAGGUGGUUUGUUAAGUCAGAUGUGAAAGCCCGGGGCUCAACCUCGGAAUAGCAUUUGAAACUGGCAGACUAGAGUACUGUAGAGGGGGGUAGAAUUUCAGGUGUAGCGGUGAAAUGCGUAGAGAUCUGAAGGAAUACCGGUGGC
rnacentral:rRNA from 1 species